CAUUGUGAGAGAAACCAUUUAAUACAUUAUCAACCUUUUAAUAUUGUUUGGUAAAUUCCAUAUUCCUAAAUGAAGAGUAUUGAAAAGGAUUUUACACAGACUUCUGGCUGAAUUUGAACAAUAUACAGUUCAUUAUUCAGCUUAUAGUCUCUCCCAAAUGUCCUAAAACUGUCACUCUCUAGAACAAAUUUUUGAGAGAUUUAAUGUUAAUGAAUCCCUUUACUUUGGUUAUUGUACAAUUUAUUUGAUUUUUUUAUCUCUUUCUAUUUAUAAUGAUAAUACUGUGAAUGUUA